rnacentral:rRNA from 1 species
GGGAUUCCCCUAGUAACGGCGAGUGAAGCGGGAACAGCUCAAAUUUGAAAUCUGGCCCUUGGGUCCGAGUUGUAAUUUGCAGAGGAUGCUUUUGGUGCGGUGCCUUCCGAGUUCCCUGGAACGGGACGCCUUAGAGGGUGAGAGCCCCGUACGGUUGGACACCAAGCCUAUGUAAAGCUCCUUCGACGAGUCGAGUAGUUUGGGAAUGCUGCUCAAAAUGGGAGGUAUAUUUCUUCUAAAGCUAAAUAUUGGCCAGAGACCGAUAGCGCACAAGUAGAGUGAUCGAAAGAUGAAAAGCACUUUGAAAAGAGGGUUAAAUAGCACGUGAAAUUGUUGAAAGGGAAGGAUUUAUGACCAGACUUUUUCUAGGGGGAUCAUCCGGUGUUCUCACCGGUGCACUUCCCCUAGUUGAGGCCAGCAUCGGUUUCUGUCGGGGGAUAAAAGCUUUAGGAAUGUGGCUCCCUCCGGGGAGUGUUAUAGCCUGUUGCAUAAUACCCUGACGGGGACCGAGGUUCGCGCAUUGCAAGGAUGCUGGCGUAAUGGUUAUUAAUCACCCGUCUUGAAACACGGACCAAGGAGUCGAACAUUUGUGCGAGUGUUUGGGUGUUAAACCCUCACGCGUAAUGAAAGUGAACGGAGGUGAGAGCCUUUCGGGGUGCAUCAUCGACCGAUCCUGAUGUCUUCGGAUGGAUUUGAGUAAGAGCAUUAAUGUUCGGACCCGAAAGAUGGUGAACUAUGCGUGGAUAGGGUGAAGCCAGAGGAAACUCUGGUGGAGGCUCGCAGCGGUUCUGACGUGCAAAUCGAUCGUCAAAUCUGCGCAUGGGGGGCGAAAGACUAAUCGAACCAUCUA